rnacentral:lncRNA from 1 species
UCAACAAGUAAUACAGAGUAAGUAAAGUAUCGAUCUCACAGAGAAAGUUGUUAACUUAGACUACUAUGCAUUAAUCACUCACUAUAUUUAUAUUCUGAGACUUUAGACUAAAGGUGUUGAUUUGAACUAACUAUGAUACCAACUACAAAUAAGAAUAUAAAUGAACUAAAUAUAAUGUGGAAAUAAUGGGAUCCUAACUUCAUUCAAUAUUUAAUUCAAUCGCCAUAUGUCAUGCAAGAAGUGUUUACAUAUCACAAAAUAAUAGCCAAGGGCAUAAAAGCGAGUUAUAACCAUUUUCCAAUGCGCUAUAACCAAC